rnacentral:rRNA from 1 species
UACGUAGGGUGCAAGCGUUGUCCGGAAUUAUUGGGCGUAAAGAGCUCGUAGGUGGUUUGUCGCGUCUGCUGUGAAAACGCGAGGCUCAACCUCGCGCCUGCAGUGGGUACGGGCAGACUAGAGUGCGGUAGGGGAGAUUGGAAUUCCUGGUGUAGCGGUGGAAUGCGCAGAUAUCAGGAGGAACACCGAUGGCGAAGGCAGAUCUCUGGGCCGUAACUGACGCUGAGGAGCGAAAGCGUGGGGAGCGAACAGG